rnacentral:rRNA from 1 species
AGCAGCCGCGGUAAUUCCAGCUCCAAUAGCGUAUAUUAAAGUUGUUGCAGUUAAAAAGCUCGUAGUUGAAUUUCGGGAUCAAUAUGUCGGUCGUGCCUUCGGUACGUACUGGCAUCAUUGGUUUCUCCCUUCUGACAAACCAUGAUGUCAUUAAUUUGGUGUUAUGGGGAGUUAGGACUGUUACUUUGAAAAAAUUAGAGUGUUUAAAACAGGCAUUAGCUUGAAUACAUUAGCAUGGAAUAAUGAAAUAGGACGUUUGACCCUAUUUUGUUGGUUUCUAGGAUCGACGUAAUGAUUAAUAGGGAUAGUUGGGGGCAUUAGUAUUCAAUUGUCAGAGGUGAAAUUCUUGGAUUUAUUGAAGACUAACUACUGCGAAAGCAUUUGCCAAGGAUGUUUUCAUUAAUCAAGAACGAAAGUUAGGGGAUCGAAGACGAUCAGAUACCGUCGUAG